rnacentral:lncRNA from 10 species
GAGUGGUGGUUAUGGAGGUGGUUAUGGUGAUCAGAGCAAUGUGAGUGGUGGUUGUGGAGGUGGUUAUGGUGAUCAGAGCAAUGUGAGUGGUGGUUGUGGAGGUGGUUAUGGUGAUCAGAGCAAUGUGAGUGGUGGUUAUGGAGGUGGUUAUGGUGAUCAGAGCAAUGUGAGUGGUGGUUAUGGAGGUGGUUAUGGUGAUCAGAGCAAUGUGAGUGGUGGUUGUGGAGGCGGUUAUGGUGAUCAGAGCUGUUGAGUGGUGGUUAUGGAGGUGGUUAUGGUGAUCAGAGCAAUGUGAGUGGUGGUUGUGGAGGCGGUUAUGGAGGUCAGAGCAGCUGAGUGGUGGUUAUGGAGGUCAGAGCAGUAUGAGUGGUGGUUAUGGUGGUCAGAGCAGUGUGACUGGUGGUUAUGGAGGUGGUUAGGGUGAUCAGAGCAGUAUGAGGGGAUAUGACCACGUUCUGGAGGAAAACUCCAGUGACUGUCAGUCAAAGCUUGGUUAGGUAGAGAAGGAGCACUAAAGAGCUA